rnacentral:rRNA from 1 species
UACGUAGGGUGCAAGCGUUAAUCGGAAUUACUGGGCGUAAAGCGUGCGCAGGCGGUUGUGCAAGACCGAUGUGAAAUCCCCGGGCUCAACCUGGGAAUGGCAUUGGUGACUGUACGGCUAGAGUGUGUCAGAGGGGGGUAGAAUUCCACGUGUAGCAGUGAAAUGCGUAGAGAUGUGGAGGAAUACCGAUGGGCGAAGGCAGCCCCCUGGGAUAACACUGACGCUCAUGCACGAAAGCGUGGGGAGCAAACAGG